CGCGGGGUAGAGCAGUUUGGUAGCUCGUCGGGCUCAUAAUCCGAAGGUCGAAGGUUCAAAUCCUUCCUCCGCUA
rnacentral:tRNA from 1 species